UAUAAAGUGGAGUGUCUGUCUCUCUUUCAGUAAGAGUUAAGAAUCCAGCAUCGAACCAACCCAGCUUGAAUACAAACCAUGUUCCCUGCAUCUCUGCUGCUGCUGCUUGUAGCUGCAUCAUGUGUGCACUGUGGUCUUGAGCUCACCCAACCAAGCUCAUUGGAUGUAAAGCCUGGUGAGUCUUUGAGCAUCACCUGUAAGGUCUCUGGUUAUUCUCUGACUGAUAGCAGCAACGUCUAUGGAAUAGGCUGGAUCCGUCAGCCUGUAGGAAAAGCACUUGAAUGGAUUUGGACCAUCUAUUAUGAUGGAAACUCAGACUCUCAAAGUUCCCUAAAAGACAGGUUCAGUGUCACAAGAGACACUUCCAGCAACACCAUGUUUUUAAAAGGACAGAAUCUGCAGACUGAAGACACAGCUGUGUAUUAUUGUGCUCGGUGGCCACAGUGAUACAAACCAUCAACAGACCAGUACAAAAACCCUAUAUGUAUGUGAUGAAUCAAGUACAAGCACAAACAGUAUAGCACUUAUUAGUAUAAGUAGAGUCAAAAUAAAUAACCAGUGGUGUAAAAGACUUAAGUAAAAAGACUUAACUAGUCUGGGGUAUUUGUACUUUACUAUUUAUACUUUUUACAAGUUAUCAUUUUACAUUCCUAAAUAAAUGUCUGUACUUUUUAUUCCAUACAUUUUCCCUGACACCCAAAAGUACACGUUACAUUUUGAGUGCCUAGCAUGACAGGAAAGUGGACUUUCCUGUCAUGUACUUAUCAUGUACUUAUCAUGAUACUUAUCAAGAGAACAUCCCUGGUCAUCCCUACCAAAUGCUUUUAUUGGGUGACUUUCACUUUUACUUGACUCAUUUUCUAAGAAUGUAUCUUUACUUUUACUCAAGUAUGACAAUUGGGUAUUUGUUCCACCGCUGUAAAUAACUAGUAUAAAAAGGAAUCAAUUGAUGGACUGUUAUAAGCUGAACCAACCUGCAUUAUGAACUGUUAAAUUAAAUACAAAGUUGAGUGAAAUGUUGAUUCUCUCUUUGUUUACAGCAUGUUUACAGCAUGUUAUUAUAACACGAUAAUUAUCGAUAAUCAAUGUUUUUGGUAGUGGCACAGCAUUCCUUAAUGCAUGUGUGUGAUUCUCCAGGCUUUUUAACCACUGGUCCAGACUCAGUCAAUGUCUGACUCUGAACACCUGUUGAAAAUCCCUGGACUCAAAACCUCUGUGAUCAUUCUGUAUCAAAUAAAAACAGUCUAAUAGUGUUCACCUGUCAAGCCCAUUGUCAUCAGU